UAUACAAUUCAAUAAAAUUAUUAU
rnacentral:sRNA from 1 species